rnacentral:SRP_RNA from 2 species
GCCGGGCAUGGUGGCGCAUGCCUGUAAUCCCAGCUACUUGGGAGGCUGAGGCAGGAAAAUCGCUUGAACCCAGGAGCGGAGCUUGCAGUGAGCUGAGAUCAUGCCACUGCACUUCAGCCUGGGUGACAGAACGAGACUCCGUUUUUU